AUGAAUCGUCCAAUUUGGGUAGACAUUAUUCACGAUAUUAUUUUUCCUUCUUUUGUUGAAUAUCUGGGCGAAUACUGUAGCCCAAACCUUAGGGCGUGACCCCUAGCCACUGAAGAUUUGGACGAAAUCCAAAAUCGCAGGUAUGCACCAACAGAGACGGAGGUUCUUCGAUGAAUUUCAGUGUUAACCACGGGGGCAAAUACUCUUUGUGGAGUCGUCUGGAACUAUUUUUUAUCACAAUUUGUUUUGAGGAAGAGUUCGUGCCUACCAAGGGGAAAGCUACAGGUUACUGGACGCCACCAAAGGUCUAUUGAGCUUAUGUCCUUUCUGAGAGUCUGAGUUUGUGAUUCAGCAACAUCAAGACAAGGAGUUUUUUUAUUACCAGGUGCUGUGCUACCUUAUACCUACAGUUGUGUUCACUCGGAUAUGCAAGAAAAUCAACCUUAGUAGCUGAGUUGUUGAUUAAGAAGGCUACAAGCAAAGGAAGAGACCAUAAGCAAAAAUUGAAAAGACUUCGGAAAAAUUGAUUUUGAACCAGGUUACUUUUGUUUGGGGUGGUCAGGAAAAAAAAACAGACACGAAGGGCAGUGGCAAGUGGUAGCCAAAAGAAGAUUACUUAAGGCUCAAACAAAUAGAGAUAAUCUGAUGCUGUAAAAAAAAAACUUAUCUAUUUUUUUAUUCCCUAAUGGUAUCCAUAUACCAAAACUUUUGGCUUGGCAUAGGUAGAAUGGUUACCAAGGGUGUCAACUCUACACCUGCAAUUUGUUGCUUGUAGUUAUUAAAAUGGCCUAUUACUAGGCAACAUGAUCACUUUUCCUCUAUCACCUAGCAUUGAGUGUGUGUAUAUUUUCUAUGCCUUCUCAUUUUGAUAUGCUUAUGAUUAGAAAAAUUAUUAAAACCAUAUCUAAUUUAUCUGGUUUAACUAUCCUUUAUAUUUAGAAUAUUUGACUUAAAGUAUUAUGAUGCCUUAAUGUGUAAGGCUAUUAUUUUGGGCCUACAUUUUCCAUGGAAACCACAUUUUGGCUCUCUUCAUGAGUCUCAGGCAAGAAUAGUUAUGACUAUCUAUUGACUUAGACAAAUUAGUAAAUUGUCUUUAUUUUCCACCAAGGAGGUCUUGGCUUGAUAUAUCUAUUGCAGGCAAGGUAUGCAUUGUUAAUUUCAAUGUUGAUGCAUAUAUUCAAUCCAUUAAUAACCCUAAAAUAUAUAAAUAUUAAGAUUGAACACUGUGGUUGUGAGAGAUCUGCUACAAAAUCUAAAAGUAUGGCCAUUUCAUAAUCUUAUUCCUCUUGAAUGUAAAUGUUAGACAAAUUUUUGCAUAAGGUUAUUCAUAAGUCCAAAAUCCAAAAUCCUACCUGAAUUUAGAGAUCGCUUUAAAAAUCAAUUUAGUAUUUUUUUAGCAACUCCUAAUAAAAGGAAAUAGGAUUAGAAUACAUUUCCUUUCCUUGAACACACAUACACUUGGAAUUUUUAAAAUGUUAAAAUUCAAGUGUUAGUAAUUAAAAAAUAUCUAAGAGAUUUAUACUCAUAAUCCACCGUAUCAUACUCAUUGUUGAUUGAUUUAGUUUUCUCUCAGUCUCACUAGUUGGUCCACAUUAUUCUUAAGAAACCCUUGAAUGGCUUGUUAGGCUCUCCAUAGCUAUGUUUGGCAUUUCUAUUUUAAUUUAGUGGUUUGUUUGUAUAUUUUUCUGCUGUCCAAACCACAUUAUUCUACAAGUAGCCAAAGCUAUCCAAAAGUGUAGUCAAGAGGAAGCCAAAGUAACUAAACAUCGGUUGAAAAGGGAAAUGUUAAAAAGAUUAAGAAAUCAAAUGAAUGGUGUUAGGAAUGUUUAGAAAAAAACUACAACAUCAAAGUUACACAAGUGAACCACUAAAUGCUUGCAUAAAAAAAAUUGGUAGUAAAUUCUCUGAUGUACACUUGAAAUUAUGCUAGUGUCAUCAUUUAGUGGAUUCACUUUUAAUUUUAUUUAUUAUUUAAGAUAGGCAUAUCAUCGAGGGCAAUCCAAAAUGAUAGACAGUUACUGUUAUACAACUAGUUUACUACCCAAGGCAUGAGUUAUAAAUAGCUAGAUUUAAUGUUGCACUAUUUCCAACUGUUGUUCUGGGUGAAACAGUAAGCUAAGUUGCAGAAAAAUCUGCUCGCACAUGCCUAAGAAUCAUGCUAAAAUCCUUUUAGGUUUUGUUCUUCAUCUUACCACCUUUCCAUAAAAUAUUGAAGUUUUGAAUAUGGCUUAAUAGUGUAAAGUUAUGGCCAUUUAAAGCUGCCCCAUUUUGCUGCAAAUUACUCUGUUUAUGUCCUUUGAAGGAUUAUGUUGCUAUCAUUAUCCUUGAAUGGUAUGUUUGAUCUUCAUAUUGUUACAGGGUUGUUUGGACUGCACAAAUGAAAGGUUUACAUGCUUUGAACAUGAUUGUCAAUGUUAUUGAUUCUCAUACAUUUGUGACUGUCAAGGAGUCAAAAAUCCUUAUCACUUCCCCUUCCACAUUGUGCCUUGAAGCUCUAUUUUCUUGAUUUGACCUCACUAUAUUCUUUUACCUUUUAUAACAAGUUUGUCCCUUCAUGACCAAAGACUCUUGACUAGUGGGUGUUGAGUCCCAUUGUAGCUUAAAUUAAAUUUUGUCAUUUCUUUGUUUCUAUUUCAUUUGGUAAAUUGCCUUACCUUUUUUAAGUGUGUAAAAUUCGGCUUUGUUGCCAUUACUAAGGGUUUAUCUUUCAUGAAAUUCACCAAGGGCUUGGACUGGACCUUAGAUAUGCCAUACUCAAUAAGUGUUUCAGUAUUUUACAAAAAAAAGAAUACUCAUCAUGUUUUAUGAGAUUUGAACCUGCAUCUUUCUUAUGAAAUCCCUGAUGCUUUUGUCACUUAAGUUCAUCUCAUCCAGAGGACAAACUAUUUCAUUAUUUCUGUCAAAUUUUCUGUAUGGGUAAGCUAAACUGAAAGAGGAUAUUUGAUUGUAGCUGAGGAUGCUUGUGCUCCUAUGCUUUAUGUAUGGCUUACUUCAGCUUGCUAAUGGAAUAUAUUCAAUUAUUAUUAAAUUUGUGUGUUUCAAAGCUACGAUCUAGAAUUACUUAUAAUAAAGAUGCAAGCCUGUUUAAAAAUUUAAUAUGAAAUUCCUCCUCUAUAAUCUUGCAAGGACUUGCAAGUUUGGUUUCUUUGAAGAAGUUAUUGUCUUUUAGAAUUGUAGAUUGCGAUGGGUCAGCACAAUAAGUGAGAUUUAUUGUAUUUCUGCCAUUUGCAAUGGUUAUUUUUUAUAUUUAGAUUUUUUUUCACGGGGUCAAAGAAUUAAGCCUUCAUAGCUUCUGAUGCAGAGUUUUGUGUCAAACAUAUUAUUUAUGAGUGGUGUUCUUUUUAAUGGUUUUAAAUGGAGCAUUUAUAGUGGUCCUGCACAUUUAUCACAAUAAUAGAAAUGAUUGUAUAUGCUAAUGUCACAAUAGUAACUAAUUUUCAACUGUUUAUGAUCUCAUUUCAGAAAAUUUACAGAACUCUUUUAAUUCAUAGAAACUUCAAUAGACUCUUCUUCCAUCAACACAAACAAGACCAAAAUUGGUCUAUGUAUUAAUUUUGCACCUUUAGUUUAGCACUGGACAAAAUAUAUAUUUUAUAACAAUCUAGUCUUGAGCUUCUUUCAAGCAUAAUUGUUCGGAUAGUUAAUGCUCCACAAAACUUUGGUAGUUAAGGCAAUGCUUCAAAUAGUUGGUGCAACAGAUUCUCUAAGUAAUUAUUAUGGUAGAAAUGCCCUUCUUUUGAGGUUUUUUGUGUAUUUUUUUACAAGUUGAUAUUAGUUAUUUAUUGAAUACCCAUCUAAGCUAGUAAGGGCCUCUCCUGGAAGACACUAGAUGAUUAGGGAAAGUUACAAUUUUUCAUGAUACACAGCUCAGCUGAAAGCUACUUGAAUCUCAUUGAAGUCAAGUUGCAAACCAUAUUUCAUGGGGACUUCUUUACUCUCAUCUUAGAGGACUUGAGGCUUUUUAAACAAGAGUUAGCAUUGCUUGUUAAAACUUAAUGUUAAAUUCCAUUAAUUUUCAAAAGAUAUUGAAUCAUUGCAUCUUGGAGGCUAGUCUUAGUUGUUACUUUUUAUGGGUUUUAGGGAGUGAAUAUCCUUGUAAACCGGGUAUUAUAUUGAUCUCUUUUUCUCCUAUUCUCACAUUGUGGAUGAGAGUCACAAAGCGGGUAUAACAACAGGAAGAGAAUACGCAACUAAUUGCUGAAAAUGAACUGGCAUAGAAAAAGAACGUGAACAGAAUAGGAACCUGAUUGAUUGAUUCGAUAUAUCAUUCUCAUUUUUAUCUAAUGACAUACUUGUUUUAAUCUUUUAUAAGACUGUCGAUGCUCUAGGUGAGCUUACUCUGUUUCUGUUGUGAUCCCUAACCAGGGUAGUGUUGAUUGUGCCUCUCUAGCAACAUAAAAAAAUCAGUAGGAAGAAUCGUCAAAUUGUAGUUGCCAUAGUUGCCAUAGGAUUAAGUGCAGGUAGAAUCACUGGCAAAUAACCAUAAUUUCUAGCCUGAGAAAUUUUAAAUAGAAAAGAAUGAAAUUAGUGAAGAAAAUUAUAAAACUGCAAGUACACCUAUUCAUUCUAAAUGAACAUAUCAAUCACCUCUCAACAAUUAGUAUUCAGAUUUGUUUUUUUUUAUGUUAAUCAUAUCAACAAUUAGUACUGAAAUCUAUUUUUUUUAUAUUAAUCAUAUCAACAAUUAGUACUCAGAUCUAUUUUUUCUAUAUUAAUCAUGUUUUUGCCAUGUAAGAAUCUCAAAGCUUAUAUUAGCCCCAUAAAUAGUGUUGAUCAUCUAUCAUAAUUAUUUUUGGCAUUUGAAGGUUCGAAAACUCUUAUCAACGUUGUUAAUUAUGGAAUCCACUGUCCAUAAUUGGAUACUUUGAUUGAUACAGUCUCCUAACUUUGUUGCUACAACUUUUACUGCUGAUCAACAUUCGUUUCAUUGGGGUUUGGCAUCUAUAUUUUGCAUUCAUCAUUUUAGCAUGCAAGAAAAUUGUAUAUAUCCUAAGGUUGUUUAGUUGGAAAAAUUACAGACCUGACAACGUGUUGAAGAGAUGGAACCAAAUAUUCGAUAUUGUUUAUACAAAAUGGGACAAUCAAAUAUUUGUAGAAAUGUAUGUUUAUAGACUAACAUAGGGUACAUGGUAUAAUUAUACUUUAAAUGGUGCUAGCUCAAAUGGAAGAGCACCUGCUUUACAAGCAAGAGGAUGGUGGUUGGAUUCCAUCGUGCCCUAAUAUGACUAAAGAUAUGACCAGUUAACGGUAAAAUAAUGAUUAGAAUGACUAAAUAUACUACCAAUUGACAACAAUUAAUGACUAAAUAAAUGACCAAUUAAUAACAAUCAAUGACUAAAUUAAUGAUUAAAUAUAUGACUAAAUUAGUGACUAUUAUGCCUAAAUAAAUGACCAGAU